rnacentral:lncRNA from 1 species
GCAGCACUUUUAUUUUGUGAUGUGUGAAUUUUUGUAAAAGAAAAUUUGUUCAAAAUUCAAUUUGAAUGAAGCUUUAAAAAUUAGUUUGAAAAAAAAGAAGAAAUCCAUCCCCCCGCUUUCGGCAAACUUGGCCCAAACCAGCCCAACGCCAGCACCCUCCUCUCCCCCUUCCUCUCUCUCACUGCCAGGCGGGGCCCGCCUGUCAUCCCUCUCCUCCCGCAACUGCUCCCUCCCUCUCUCUGUUCUCAGCACAACCGCCCGAGCCGCCCCGCUCCCACGUUCUUCACCCCUUCUUCCCCUGCGCCUCGGCUAUUUCGAACUGCACCCGCACCCGAGCCUUCAUCCGUGCCUCAAUUCGCUCUGCACUCGCCCCUGCCCCCGCUCGCUACGCGCAGUAGCCGUUGCAAGGACACCGCCGGCGACCUCUAUGCGAAAUCCAUCGGGCCAAGCCGUCCUCGCCGUUUCUGUCGCGCUGGUGAGCUCUCCUACCUUCCCUGCAUUCUUCUCGGCCAAGUCCUAGGCUUUUGCGUGCCCCUAGCCUCCCAGCCGCGAGCUCCGGCGAGCUCCAUGGCUGCCGGCCAUGGAGCGUGUCGCUCGGGUCUCUCCCCGGCCGCGCUGAGGGGAUGGGUGUGUUCGCAUCGUCCUUCUCUCCCCCCCGUGCUUUCGGAAUCGAAAACCGUGCACCGUAGCUCCCGAUCCAUUUGCGCCGGCGAGCUUUGGCCGGAAUCCAUGGCCACCGCCGUGUCUCUGCCACGCUCUGGCCGGUGUGCCACCCCCUCCCUCUCUCUCUUUUUUUUCUUUUUUUUUCUUUUAAUCAAGCGCAUCCAAGCUUGAUCCAACGGCCAUGAUUAGAACUUACCCCUUCGCGGGGAUUUUUAUUAAAGAGCCCCUCGACUUCAUAGAUAUAGAACCCGCAGUCCUCGGCCAACUCCAGAUCCAGAUUGAAAUUUGAUUUAAAUUUCAUUUUCGACUUCAAAUUAAUUACAGAAUUGCCACUUCAAUGUUUUGGCCAUAAAAUAUUCGUUUUAGCUCCGAUUUGACCCGUUCAAAUUGCGUUAGAUUCGUUUUUACGAGAUCUACAUGUUAGUAAUCUUGGUUCAUCAGUUUGAAAUAUUUUAAUUUUGUGACCCUAUUUAAUUAAUUACUUUUCUAAAGAAAAUCUUAGAAAAUUCAUAUCUUCUCUGUUUUAGCUCCGAUUCGAUCUGUUCAAGUUGUGUUAGUUUCAUAAUUUUAUAAGCUUCACGUUGGUAUCAUUGUUGCCUAGGUUCACCACUGUUAGAUUUCCUAGUUAAAUACAAGUCCGUAGAUAGCCUUUGCAGUCCCGUUUAAUGCGUAGAUUUCACGUCGUAACUCCGUUUUCCGUGAAUUUCCUGUUGACGUGAUCGUAGCAGCGUGUAGAUGAUUUUGGAAAACUUUUAUUAAAUUUAUUUACUGCUGGUGUACUGUUCUAAUUGCAAUCUUGUUUGCUUCGUGUAUGUCUGUCUUCGAUUGCUAGUGUGUUGACGAUUGGUGACCGAGUUUUGGUCAGUGGGCAUUACUUCGGUGAUCAAGGUCAGAGCCGUGGAAGCAAGUAAGAUCAGCAGGACUAGCAGGAGCAAUUUGAUUAAGGCAAGUAUAGCAUUUGGGUUUUAAUUCUAUGACUAUGAUCUUGUGACUAGACUAAUAUAAAGCAACAAAUGAUAAUAAUGACUUUUUAGCAACUUGAGGAUUUAUUCGUAAGUGAUAACCGGGAUGAAAGUGCAACCAUGAGGGCUAUAAUGGCUCUGGCUUUAGUCAAGUAUGAGUAACUUUUCUAGCUUGUUAGAGGUUACCCGUGUGGCGCAAAUGGGGGAUAGCAGACCGUGGAUCCCCUACGGGGUAGAAUCACAUGGAAUGACUACCGAAACCAAGCGGCCCUAACCUGUUAGACGAACCUUUGAAAGACUUCAUAGUGAUCCCUGCCGACCUACCUUGGUAGUGGGUUACGAGGCUGAUCACCUUAGGCGAAAGGGUAAAUCAUGACUCAUGGGUAAAGAUGUACAACCUCUGCAGAGUGUUAAAAACUGGUAUACUAGCCGUGCUCACAGUCACGAGCGGCCUUGGGAACUCUUACAUUAAGGGUGAUGAAUCUUGUGUUAAGAAACUCAUUGAUUAUUGUUUAAUGCUCUAUAUUAUUUAUGUCAUAUUGAUCAUGAGAUUGUGGGAUCNNNNNNNNNNNNNNNNNNNNNNNNNNNNNNNNNNNNNNNNNNNNNNNNNNNNNNNNNNNNNNNNNNNNNNNNNNNNNNNNNNNNNNNNNNNNNNNNNNNNAUAAGGGGUAUAUCAAAGAACAACGCAUAAAUUACAUAGCGUACAUAGUAAAUCAGAAACAACCUUAGGCAGCAAACCACGGAAUAUAACUCCAAAGUUCGGGUGUUAACUUCACUCUACAGGAUCCAACUGACUGGUUGAUCACAAGCCCAAUACUUCUCCUGAGGUGUGGGGGAGAUAGCAAGAGUGAGUCCAUGACGAACUCCGCAAGUAUAACAACUAGAUUGUAUAGAUCCCACAAUCUCAUGAUCAAUGUGACAUAAAUAAUAUAAAGGAGUAAACAAUAAUCAAUGAGUUUCUUAACACAAGAUUCAUCACCCUUAAUGUAAGAGUUCCCAAGGCCGCUCGUGACUGUGAGCACGGCUAGUAUACCAGUUUUUAACACUCUGCAGAGGUUGUACAUCUUUACCCAUGAGUCAUGAUUUACCCUUUCGCCUGAGGUGAUCAGCCUCGUAACCCACUACCAAGGUAGGUCGGCAGGGAUCACUAUGAAGUCUUUCAAAGGUUCAUCUAACAGGUUAGGGCCGCUUGGUUUCGGUACUCAGUCCAUAUGAUUCUACCCCGUAGGGGAUCCACGGUCUGCUAUCCCCCAUUUGCGCCACACGGGUAACCUCUAACAAGCUAGAAAAGUUACUCAUACUUGACUAAAGCCAGAGCCAUUAUAGCCCUCGUGGUUGCACUUUCAUCCCGGUUAUCACUUACGAAUAAAUCCUCAAGUUGCUAAAAAGUCAUUAUUAUCAUUUGUUGCUUCAUAUUAAUCUAGUCACAAGAUCAUAGUCAUAGAAUUAAAACCCAAAUGAUAUACUUGCCUUAAUCCAAUUGCUCCUGCUGGUCCUGCUGAUCUUACUUGCUUCCACGGCUCUGACCUUGAUCACCGAAGUAAUGCCCACUAACUAAACUCGGUCACCAAUCAUCAACACACAAGCAAUCGAAGACAGACAUACACGAAGCAAACAAGAUUGCAAUUAGAACAGUACACCAACAGAUCAAAAAUGAAAUAAAAUAUUUAAAAACAGAACCUACGUUUCGCUACGAUCACAUAGAUACGAAGAUCACGAAAAUCGGAGCUGAAACGACCAAAUUACGGAUUUACGGCGAUUUCCUAUAGCUAUUUAAUUAAUUAAACCUAACCCUGAAAUUAAAAAGUUGCAAACUACAUAAACAGUGGUACUAACAUGUAGAGAAUUUAAUUACGAAUCUAACGCAAUUUGAACGGGUCAAAUCGGAGCUAAAAUGAAUAUUUUAUGGCCAAAACAAUGCAAUGGCAAUUCUGUAAAUUUCUGAAAACGCCUUUUGACCUAAACCGACGCAAUUUACGUUUCCUAAACAGCAAAGCGUAUUUCUAACGAAUACGCUAAGGACAGCGGGUUGUUUUGGAAAAAACAUAGGGUCUCUUUAGCAAUUUUACCCUUGAAGUGGUACGGGGCGCCCUGGACCGUCCGAUUAGAACUCAACGGCCCAGAUCGCAAAAUGAGAAAGAGAGAGAGAAGCAGGGGGCGCGGCCGCCGGAGGGGAGGGAGGGCGCGGCGGCGCCGCCAUGGCCGCGGCGAGCAAGCUCGCCGGAGAACUCGCGCAGGCGCUACGGAGCUCGGUUUCACGAACUAAACACACCGGGAGAGAGAGGAGAUCGCGGCGAAUCCAACACGGGGCAUAACGCGUCCAGAGGGGCGGCUUUCAAGGAGGCCGACGGUGGCGCCCUGGCCGGCCCCGUCGGUGCUCCUAGGACAUCCACUAGAGGCGCUAAAAACCAAAGAAAAUGGGUCAGGGAAGGAGAGGGAGGUGGAGCGCGCUCUCCACGACGAGGAACGGGAGCAGAGGCGGCUCGGAACGGUGGCUUUCGUGCGGAGGGUCGCGGCGGAGCUCCGGCGUCGGGUUGCGCGCAGCAGGCGAAAACGGAGGCGAGGGGGGAAUGGGGAAGGGAGUGCUCGGACGCGCGGGUGCUCUCCUCUUGAAGCCGAAACGCGGGGGGGGGGAGAUCGUGGGCGUGGGGGGGCGCGGCUUGCGGUUCCUGAACUGAGAGAGGGGGAGGAGGCGGUUUGGAUGGAGGAGAGGGGAAGGGGGUAAGAGGGUGGCCGGCUGGGCCACGGCCCAGGAAGGGAGAAGGGGGGCGCGGGGUGGGCUGGGCCAGCAGGCCGAGAAGGAGGGGGGAACUGGAUUUCUUCUUCUCUUUUUUUCAAACUAAUUUUCAAAGCUUCUUUCAAAUUGAAUUUUGAAUAAAUUUUUUUUUACCAAAAUUCACACAUCACAAAAUAAAAGUGCUGCAGCAGGAAUGCAUCAAAAAGUUUUCUAAACUUAUAUUAAAUUUUAUUUUCCCAAAAUUUUAUUAUUUUUCCUAUAUUUUGAUGCUCACAAAAUUGACUCAAUAAAUCAAAUUCAACUAUUUAAAACAAGGGAAUUUUUAGGGUGUUACAAUUCUACCCCCCUUAAAAUGAAUCUCGUCCUCGAGAUUCGAAAGAGGCUCAGAUCCUCUAAGAGAAACAGGAAAAUAUCUUGAUAAUCCUUUCAACUUCACAACUUGCAUACCAAACUUAAGCACUUGUCUCAAGGUCACACCUCAUGAACAACAUUUCCAUUGAAUAACUAUUAUUCAUAGUUGACCGAAGUCCAUCUUGACUACUAAUCCUCUUAUCUUACAACUCCAAGAGACAUAGAAACUUAAUAUGCAUUUGCUUCAUCAGGUAGGAGUGGACCACCGUGAUACUCAAUUCUUUUUCCUGACGGUGCUGCUAAGAGCAUUUUGUACCGGGUACCAUAGAUCACUCCUUUGUGUGCACACAACCAUUCAUUACCAAGGACCAAGGGAAUACUAAGUGACUCUAGCACAAUGAGGUUUAUAGUGAAGUUUUCCUUGUUUACGACCAGAUUGAUAUUUGAGCACAACUGAUCUGCUUGUAUUUCUCCCAGUUGGGUUUGAACUAGUAAAGGCUUCUUCGUUGGACACUUUACCCUCUCGAUUGUCUUUAUGAGGUCGGUGGAAAUGAAAGAAUGCGAAGCACUCGGGUCAAAGAGAGCAAAAACUUGCACUGAGUCUACUUGAAUAUAGCCACCAACCACUUCGGUAGCUCCAUGAAUGUUAUGCCUAUCCACAUUGCUCAGUCUCCCAUUGAUAUAGUCUCGUUGCACCCUACUUCCAUGAGCAUACUUCUUACAGCUUUUCCUUUUUCUUUUUCGCCGUUGUGGAUUCUGAUUUGAUUCAUUUCCAACUUGCUCUUCAGUAUCAUUGUUUUGAUAGAACUCAGUUUCAUCACACUCAUAACAUCCAUCAAGGGUAGGAUCAUCAUUCUCUUCCCACGUAUCAGUAAGAGGCAUCAUAUAGGGCUCCUGAUCCAUGGGAUACUACACUCCCUGUCAUCAAGUUACCAACGUCAAUGACACGAGAAGGAGAGAUGAUCAUAUUCAUAGAAUAUCUCACGAGACAACUCUCACUUCAAGAUAAGUUGAAAAUGCAUCAACCCGUGAUAUCAAGGUUCUAUCCAAGCUUGAUCCAACGCCCAUGAUUAGAACUUACCCCUUCGCGGGGAUUUUUAUUAAAGAGCCCCUCGACUUCAUAGAUAUAGAACCCGCAGUCCUCGGCCAACUCCAGAUCCAGAUUGAAAUUUGAUUUAAAUUUCAUUUUCGACUUCAAAUUAAUUACAGAAUUGCCACUGCAAUGUUUUGGCCAUAAAAUAUUCGUUUUAGCUCCGAUUUGACCCGUUCAAAUUGCGUUAGAUUCGUUUUCGCGAGAUCUACAUGUUAGUAAUCUUGGUUCAUCAGUUUGAAAUAUUCUAAUUUUGUGACCCUAUUUAAUUAAUUACUUUUCUAAAGAAAAUCUUAGAAAAUUCAUAUCUUCUCUGUUUUAGCUCCGAUUCGAUCCGUUCAAGUUG